GACGAACGCUGGCGGCGUGCUUAACACAUGCAAGUCGAACGGAAAGGCCCUUCGGGGUACUCGAGUGGCGAACGGGUGAGUAACACGUGGGUGAUCUGCCCUGCACUUUGGGAUAAGCCUGGGAAACUGGGUCUAAUACCGAAUAGGACCACGCGCUUCAUGGUGUGUGGUGGAAAGCUUUUGCGGUGUGGGAUGGGCCCGCGGCCUAUCAGCUUGUUGGUGGGGUAAUGGCCUACCAAGGCGACGACGGGUAGCCGGCCUGAGAGGGUGACCGGCCACACUGGGACUGAGAUACGGCCCAGACUCCUACGGGAGGCAGCAGUGGGGAAUAUCGCACAAUGGGCGCAAGCCUGAUGCAGCGACGCCGCGUGAGGGAUGACGGCCUUCGGGUUGUAAACCUCUUUCAAUAGGGACGAAGCGUGAGUGACGGUACCUAUAGAAGAAGCACCGGCCAACUACGUGCCAGCAGCCGCGGUAAUACGUAGGGUGCGAGCGUUGUCCGGAAUUACUGGGCGUAAAGAGCUCGUAGGUGGUUUGUCGCGUUGUUCGUGAAAACUCACAGCUUAACUGUGGGCGUGCGGGCGAUACGGGCAGACUAGAGUACUGCAGGGGAGACUGGAAUUCCUGGUGUAGCGGUGGAAUGCGCAGAUAUCAGGAGGAACACCGGUGGCGAAGGCGGGUCUCUGGGCAGUAACUGACGCUGAGGAGCGAAAGCGCGGGGAGCGAACAGGAUUAGAUACCCUGGUAGUCCACGCCGUAAACGGUGGGUACUAGGUGUGGGUUCCUUCCUUGGGAUCCGUGCCGUAGCUAACGCAUUAAGUACCCCGCCUGGGGAGUACGGCCGCAAGGCUAAAACUCAAAGGAAUUGACGGGGGCCCGCACAAGCGGCGGAGCAUGUGGAUUAAUUCGAUGCAACGCGAAGAACCUUACCUGGGUUUGACAUGCACAGGACGCCGGCAGAGAUGUCGGUUCCCUUGUGGCCUGUGUGCAGGUGGUGCAUGGCUGUCGUCAGCUCGUGUCGUGAGAUGUUGGGUUAAGUCCCGCAACGAGCGCAACCCUUGUCCUAUGUUGCCAGCGGGUUAUGCCGGGGACUCGUAGGAGACUGCCGGGGUCAACUCGGAGGAAGGUGGGGAUGACGUCAAGUCAUCAUGCCCCUUAUGUCCAGGGCUUCACACAUGCUACAAUGGCCGGUACAAAGGGCUGCGAUGCCGUGAGGUGGAGCGAAUCCUUUCAAAGCCGGUCUCAGUUCGGAUCGGGGUCUGCAACUCGACCCCGUGAAGUCGGAGUCGCUAGUAAUCGCAGAUCAGCAACGCUGCGGUGAAUACGUUCCCGGGCCU
rnacentral:rRNA from 1 species